GCAGUGGUAGUUCAGCGGUAGAAUUCUCGCCUUCCAUGCAGGAGAUCCAGGUUCCAUUCCCAGCGAAUGCA
rnacentral:tRNA from 1 species